GGCACACGAGCCAACCAUGCAUGGGUAAGCAGCCUAGCGGGAGUGCAGCCCAGUGCGUGGGGUGCAUGGGCCUGUGGUGAGUGCACGCCCCAAGCCCACGCACGCACGACUGGCAUGGUCCAUCAUGGUGCAAAAUCAUAGUCCAUGCAAUUUGGGAUUAUGGUUCACGAUGGCAAAGGAGAUUUCUCACGGUCCCUCAAGGUUUUAUGGACCGAAGCAUGAUCAGAUGGCUUAGAGCUUAGUCAGUGGUGAUCGAAUGGUGGCGGGCA
rnacentral:lncRNA from 1 species